UCUUAUGGAUGAGCAGAGUGUGGUUUCUUGAGACGGAGUCUACUCUUGGUGAAGAUGCUGUGAA
rnacentral:pre_miRNA from 2 species